rnacentral:tRNA from 1 species
CAAAGUAUAGCUUAAACACAAAGCAUCUAUAUAGGAGAUAGAAAUUCUAAUUGGCGCUAUAGAAAAC